UUGUCCAUUCUGAGAUUAGGCUGGUUUCUCCUCUUGGCCCUGGCCUACAGACCAUAAAGGAAAACAGCAAGAGGUCCCCAGCAAACAUCUACAGAUGGCCCUGGACAUCAGCCACAUUCAGAGAAACGUGUCAUGUUCUGGGAGGGCUAAGGCAUCGAGAAUCCCAGUGAAUAUAUUGCCACCAUCUUGGAGCUCAGUGCCCUCAUAGUGUAACAGCACCAGCAGAUCUGCCUGUGCACAGACUUCCUGUACUACCUCACUCCUGAGGGGAGAUGCUUCUGCAGGGCCUGCGACCUGGUGCACAACUUUAGACACCAUCAUCCUGGAGCGGCACUGCACCCUCACUAGCCAGGGUGUUGAUGACUUCCUCAAUGCCAAGGCCACGUUCAAGAUUUUCGACUUCAGUGAUGCGUUUGUGCUGAGCAAGGAUAUGACAGCACAGCCAGUGGCCUCUACUGGAUCCUGGUACCCCUCAGAAGACACCCAGACACUGGGAGUGCUGCCACCUCGUGGUGCAAGAGUUCUGAGGGACGGCAAUUCUGAAGACAUUGAAUGCCGUUUUGCACACCCUGGUCAGAAUGAAACAUUCCUUGGGAACUCGGGCCGUGAGAAGCAUCCUUCCUGAUCACCUGACUGUAGAAACAUCCUUAUCGCACCCUCCCGGGCAAAGGCCCAACAGCCUGACUGCAGGAACAUCCUUGCCAUAUCCUGCCGGGCAGCAAGCUCUACCGCCCACACCCCUCCUUCCCAGUCCCAUGAUCACCCCA
rnacentral:lncRNA from 10 species